AAGUCGAACGCUCACCGGGUUUCGGCCGGGUGGGAGUGGCGGACGGGUGAGUAGCGCGUGGGAACCUGCCCUGUUGUGGGGGAUAACCGAGGGAAACUUCGGCUAAUACCGCAUACGCCCGGAGUGAUCCGGGGAAAGAUUGAUCGCAGCAGGAGGGGCCCGCGUCGGAUUAGGUAGUUGGUGGGGUAACGGCCUACCAAGCCGGUGAUCCGUAGCUGGUCUGAGAGGAUGAUCAGCCACACUGGGACUGAGACACGGCCCAGACUCCUACGGGAGGCAGCAGUGGGGAAUAUUGGACAAUGGGCGCAAGCCUGAUCCAGCAAUGCCGCGUGAGUGAUGAAGGCCUUAGGGUUGUAAAGCUCUUUCGGCGGGGACGAUGAUGACGGUACCCGCAGAAGAAGCCCCGGCUAACUUCGUGCCAGCAGCCGCGGUAAUACGAAGGGGGCGAGCGUUGUUCGGAUUUACUGGGCGUAAAGGGCGCGUAGGCGGCGGUCCAAGUCGAGUGUGAAAGCCCCGGGCUCAACCUGGGAGGUGCGCUCGAGACUGGUUCGCUGGAGUUCGGGAGAGGAGCGUGGAAUUCCCAGUGUAGAGGUGAAAUUCGUAGAUAUUGGGAAGAACACCGGUGGCGAA
rnacentral:rRNA from 1 species